rnacentral:rRNA from 1 species
CGGAGGAUCCAAGCGUUAUCCGGAUUCAUUGGGUUUAAAGGGUGCGUAGGCGGAAUAGUAAGUCAGUGGUGAAAUCCUGUCGCUUAACGACAGAACUGCCAUUGAUACUGCUAAUCUUGAGUACAUUUGAAGUGGGCGGAAUGUGUAGUGUAGUGGUGAAAUACUUAGAUAUUACACAGAACACCGAUUGCGAAGGCAGCUCACUAAACUGUAACUGACGCUGAGGCACGAAAGCGUGGGGAUCAAACAGGAUUAGAUACCCUGGUAGUCCACGCUGUAAACGUUGAUAACUCGUUGUUGGCGAUAUACUGUCAGCGACUAAGCGAAAGUGAUAAGUUAUCCACCUGGGGAUACGGUCGCAAGAUUG